CCCAGACUCCUACGGGAGGCAGCAGUGGGGAAUAUUGCACAAUGGGGGAAACCCUGAUGCAGCGACGCCGCGUGAGCGAUGAAGUAUUUCGGUAUGUAAAGCUCUAUCAGCAGGGAAGAAGAUGACGGUACCUGACUAAGAAGCCCCGGCUAACUACGUGCCAGCAGCCGCGGUAAUACGUAGGGGGCAAGCGUUAUCCGGAUUUACUGGGUGUAAAGGGAGCGUAGACGGCGAUGCAAGCCAGAUGUGAAAGCCCGGGGCCCAACCCCGGGACUGCUCUUGGAACUGUGCGGCUGGAGUGCGGGAGAGGCAGGCGGAAUUCCUAGUGUAGCGGUGAAAUGCGUAGAUAUUAGGAGGAACACCAGUGGCGAAGGCGGCCUGCUGGACGGUGACUGACGCUGAGGCUCGAAAGCGUGGGGAGCAAACAGGAUUAGAUACCCUUGUAUA
rnacentral:rRNA from 1 species